rnacentral:rRNA from 1 species
GAUGAACGCUGGCUACAGGCUUAACACAUGCAAGUCGAGGGGAAACGACGGGGAAGCUUGCUUCCCCGGGCGUCGACCGGCGCACGGGUGAGUAACGCGUAUCCAACCUGCCUCUGACUGAGGGAUAACCCGUCGAAAGUCGGCCUAAUACCUCAUGGCAUCGUCUGCGGGCAUCCAACGACGAUUAAAGAUUUCAUCGGUCAGAGAUGGGGAUGCGUCUGAUUAGCUUGUUGGCGGGGUAACGGCCCACCAAGGCGACGAUCAGUAGGGGUUCUGAGAGGAAGGUCCCCCACAUUGGAACUGGGACACGGUCCAAACUCCUACGGGAGGCAGCAGUGAGGAAUAUUGGUCAAUGGGCGAGAGCCUGAACCAGCCAAGUAGCGUGCAGGAUGACGGCCCUAUGGGUUGUAAACUGCUUUUAGGCGGGGAUAAAGUGAGGGACGUGUCCUUCAUUGCAGGUACCGCAUGAAUAAGGACCGGCUAAUUCCGUG